rnacentral:tRNA from 2 species
GGUGGUGUAGCUCAGUGGUAGAACACUUGUCUAAAAUGCAUGAGGCCCUGGAUUCAAUCCCCAGCACCACAA